rnacentral:lncRNA from 1 species
UUGUAUUAUCAUAUCUUAUGAAAAUUUUAUUUUAUUCAAUACUAUAAUCUUUGAAUUGUUGUUUAAUUUAAAGAAUUUGAGUACAGUAACUUUUUGCUGCAAUAUACUUGGUCUCGAUCAUGGACAAUGCUAUUAAAUUUUACUUUUUACUAAACUAAGAGAUUAAGUUUAAUUCUAGAAAUUGGCAUGUUUCACUUAUGCUUUUUUUUAUCAAUUUUACAUCCACCAUA